rnacentral:lncRNA from 1 species
GGAGUAAUAACUGGCAGCAUUGGGACAGGUGGACACAAGCCUGGGAGUUGGGGGUCCUGUAUUCUCAGCCUUAACCUCCCUUUAAAGCACCCUGUGAACUUGAGCAGCUCCUGAGCCAAGCAGCAAGUUCCUGCCUACUUCCUCAUCGCCUGAGCAACCAGAGGCCACCAUAGGCCUAGAGGACCCCUCUUCCUUCCCCAGAGGAGCUCUCCAGCCCCACACCUCCACUGCCGAAUUAUCACUUGGGAGCUGGAAAGCCAAGGAGUGCAAUUCUGCUUUUCAGGCAAUCAUGCUGAUCACAAAGAUUAUACCAAUAAUCCAGUCUGAUGCAGCCCUCAGACAGGCCCUGGUCUUGUGAAAUUCACAGAAAAUUCUAAUCAAAGGUAUUGGGCACGAGCUGAAGGCCCUCACACUGAACUUCAGCAUCUCCAACCUCCAAUAUUCAACAGACAUGAGCAAGGGCUCAGCGACAUUUAACUCCACUGAGAGAGUCCUGCAGCACCGGAUGAGACCCUGGUGCCUGCAGCUCCUGGUAGAAUGAGUCCCAGCCAGCCACUCUCCUCCUGCUGUCUCUCCUGCUCACCCUCCUCCUGACUCCUCCACUGCUUGGAUCCUUGUUCAAGAAGAGCAGCCUAGGCCCCUUGUCCUUGGGUUGCAGACUGAUCUCCCUCAGGAAAGUCCCUUUUCUGAGCGUUUGAGAGUUACAAACACUUUCAGAGCCCACCCCACUUUUCACUCUUCCCACUGACUGCCAAUUUGCUCCUCCCUCCCUCUGGCCCCCAUUAAUAGAGGACUCAGGACAUCUCUCUAGAGUCCCCACAUUCCUCUCUCCCAAGGCCUGGGGAGGAUGGGGCAGCCACCAGCGUGGAAGCUGUCUGCACCUACCACCCUGACCCCAUGGCGUGUGAUGGAGAGUAUGACAGAGACAUCAGGUGACAGCAGCAUUCCUGGGAGCUUAACAAGCUGACUCACCGUGUCACCCUGAGGGGCCUCUACUCCCUGCUCAGGGACAGCCUUUUUGUCAGUGGUGAGUGUUCAUGCUGAGCUGGAUUGAUAGUGAUCAUUACUUAUGCCUGUUCUGCUUUAUUUCUUCUCUAACAAUUCAGCCCAGAUUCUGAUUUGGGGGACACAGAAACUGAAUAUGUAUAAAAUUUCAAUUUGCAAAUGAAGACUGUGCUGUAAAUGGAUUUGUAGAUCCCAAUCA